UCUUCCGCAAUGGACGAGAGUCUGACGGAGCAACGCCGCGUGAGUGAUGAAGGUUUUCGGAUCGUAAAACUCUGUUGUUAGGGAAGAACAAGUAUCGUCCGAAUAGGGCGGUACCUUGACGUUACCUAACUAGAAAGCCAUGGCUAACUACUUCCCACCAGCCGCGGUAAUACGUAGGUGGCAAGCGUUGUCCGGAAUUAUUGGGCGUAAAGCGCGCGCAGGCGGUUUCUUAAGUCUGAUGUGAAAGCCCCCGGCUCAACCGGGGAGGGUCAUUGGAAACUGGGGAACUUGAGUGCAGAAGAGGAGAGUGGAAUUCCACGUGUAGCGGUGAAAUGCGUAGAGAUGUGGAGGAACACCAGUGGCGAAGGCGACUCUCUGGUCUGUAACUGACGCUGAGGCGCGAAAGCGUGGGGAGCGAACAG
rnacentral:rRNA from 1 species